rnacentral:rRNA from 1 species
ACGCUCGACACCUACGGGAGGCGGCAGUGGGGAAUAUUGCACAAUGGGGGAAACCCUGAUGCAGCGACGCCGCGUGGAGGAAGAAGGUCUUCGGAUUGUAAACUCCUGUUGUUGGGGAAAAAGAGGAUGGUACCCAACAAGGAAGUGACGGCUAACUACGUGCCUGCAGCUGCGGUAAUCUGAGCGGGCUGGCAAGGC